rnacentral:snoRNA from 1 species
AUCUUCCAGUUCACAAGUGUGUUGAUCAGGUUUUCAUGCCUUUGUGUGUCAUGUACCUCCUUCAAACAUUGUCAUUUGUAUUACUCAUUUGAUG